rnacentral:rRNA from 1 species
UGAGAGAACUCAGGAGAAGGAACUCGGCAAAUUGAUACCGUAACUUCGGGAGAAGGUAUGCCGCAAGUAGGUGAACUUGUACAAAGGGAGCCCAAAGCGGUUGCAAAAAAUCGGUGGCUGCGACUGUUUAUUAAAAACACAGCACUCUGCAAACACGAAAGUGGACGUAUAGGGUGUGACGCCUGCCCGGUGCUGGAAGAUUAAAUGAUGGGGUGCAAGCUCUUGAUUGAAGUCCCAGUAAACGGCGGCCGUAACUAUAACGGUCCUAAGGUAGCGAAAUUCCUUGUCGGGUAAGUUCCGACCUGCACGAAUGGCGUAACGAUGGCCACACUGUCUCCUCCUGAGACUCAGCGAAGUUGAAAUGUUUGUGAUGAUGCAAUCUCCCCGCGGAAAGACGGAAAGACCCCAUGAACCUUUACUGUAGCUUUGUAUUGGACUUUGAACAGAUCUGUGUAGGAUAGGUGGGAGGCUUUGAAGCAGGGUCGCUAGAUCUUGUGGAGCCAACGUUGAAAUACCACCCUGGUGUGUUUGAGGUUCUAACCUAGGUCCAUUAUCUGGAUCGGGGACAGUGCAUGGUAGGCAGUUUGACUGGGGCGGUCACCUCCCAAAGCGUAACGGAGGAGUUCGAAGGUACGCUAGUUACGGUCGGACAUCGUGACGAUAGUGCAAUGGCAUAAGCGUGCUUAACUGCGAGACUGACAAGUCGAGCAGAUGCGAAAGCAGGACAUAGUGAUCCGGUGGUUCUGUAUGGAAGGGCCAUCGCUCAACGGAUAAAAGGUACUCUGGGGAUAACAGGCUGAUACCGCCCAAGAGUUCAUAUCGACGGCGGUGUUAGGCACCUCGAUGUCGGCUCAUCUCAUCCUGGGGCUGUAGCCGGUCCCAAGGGUAUGGCUGUUCGCCAUUUAAAGAGGUACGUGAGCUGGGUUUAAAACGUCGUGAGACAGUUUGGUCCCUAUCUUCCGUGGGCGCUGCAGAUUUGAGGAAGCCUGCUCCUAGUACGAGAGGACCGGAGUGGACACACCUCUGGUGUAUCGGUUGUCACGCCAGUGGCAUUGCCGAGUAGCUAAGUGUGGAAGAGAUAAACGCUGAAAGCAUCUAAGCGUGAAACUCGUUUCAAGAUGAGAUCUGCCGGGGCCUUGAGCCCCCUAAAGAGUCGUUCAAGACCAGGACGUUGAUAGGUCGGGUGUGGAAGCGCAGUAAUGCGUUAAGCUAACCGAUACUAAUUGCUCGUGCGGCUUGACCCU